rnacentral:rRNA from 1 species
GACGAACCGUGCGAACGUUAAUCGGAUUCAUUGGGCUUAAAGGGCGCGUAGGCGGCGGCGUAAGUUCGUGGUGAAAUCCCAUCGGCUCAACCGUGGAAUUGCUUCGAAUACUGCGUCGCUCGAGGGAGAUAGGGGACCGCAGAACUGCCGGUGGAGCGGUGAAAUGUGUUGAUAUCGGCGGGAAUGCCAGUGCCGAAAGGGGCGGUCUGGACCUCUUCUGACGCUGAGGCGCGAAAGCUAGGGGAGCGAACGGGG